rnacentral:lncRNA from 1 species
AGGGGCCAGCUGCUGGGUUCUGGGCUGGAAGGACCCACAGAACAGAGUUCCUGUAGCUGCUGCUGUCUCCAUCUUGACACCACGACUCUGUCACUGCCUCUAUCAGGGCGCUCUGACUCCUGGAACCUUCUGUGUCUUCUAUACUGAAGAGCAAGAGGAUAGAUGUGAGAUGACCUCAGCACCUCCCCUCCUGUGCCAGACUGAGGGAGGCCCUUGGGUUCUCGUGGGCAUGGCUGUUCGAGGUAGCCGGGAGCUGUUUGCAGCCAUUGGCCCUGAAGCAACCUGGAUAUCGCAAACAGUGGGAGAAGCCCAUUUUCUUCAUCUCGGUGGCUCCUCCUACUGGUCUCCUGAAGGCAGUGACCCGUGUCCCCAAGACUUGGCAGGAUCUGCAAGCUCCCCUAAGGUUGCUGCUCUGCCCCUCCUACUGGCUCUACUGAUCCCUCGCUGAGAGCCUGGCUUCUCUUCAUACCACCCAUCAGGGUUGGAAUGUGGCCCAACCAGCCAGCUCCCAGGCCUGGAUAGGGCCUCUUCCACCCAUACUGCAUUAGCUUACAGAUAAUUGGACCUCAGUGCUGGCUACUUUGAAUCUAAGAAUCCUUGGGGGUGGAGGAGGAACAGACAAUAAAGAUGUAAAUACAG